AUGAAAGGGGCAGAGAUGCAGAUGAACGGUAGCAACAAAAUCCAAAGCCAAACGCCGCCGAAACCGCCGUUCAGGCCUGCAAAAGACGACACCAAGCCUCAUCUCCAAGACCCAAUACUGAGAUCGGAUCCGAACGUAACGGAGGAAGCGGUGCUGCGGUUGCCUCCUUUUCCUCCGCCGCUCCGUUGAGGUUUUCGAAAUUUUCAUUUCCCUGUUCUGCUGUAAGACGGUAUGUGAAUUGAAAUGCGUUUGUUUUUCUUUGAAGA